AAGGAAAACCUUGCAUCCACAGCGCGGCUCUGACCGCAGGCUGGAGUGCCUCGCAGUGCUUACAAAAGCAACUACAAAAAUAUUUUCAAGACCUUUAGCAGACUCGUGCGGGAUAGCUUAUCCACCUACCACUGCUGGGCUGACCAGCUCACAGAACCGGGGAGGAGGAAAGGUGCUGGUGAUGCAGACACUGCCGGAGGGGCACGCAAGGGUCAGGCUUUCAUCCCCUAUUUAGCAGUAAUUUGGUAUGUAAGGGCUGCAGGAGCCUUUGAAGCUCAGGGCUGCUGUUUUUAAAGGCUCCCAUCAACCAGCCCAUAGUGUAGCCGAAGCAGAAACAGCAGUGUAAUAGCAGACGCAGUGUUCUUUUUGCAGAGUCUGCAGUUCUCUGACGCGUCUGCUUGACUCUCCUUUCAUGGCGCACAAACUUCCCGUCAGGAACCUGUUAACAGGGACAGCAAGGAGCAGCACUGACAAGCAACAGCUUUGGAGGAAGGCACUCGUGUAUUUAAAAAGGAAAAACCACCACGAAGAAGCCCACAAAAAAGCCACAUAAUUUAUUUUUCUGGGAGCUUUGCCUCAUCUUCCAGGUUAAAGUCGCAGCUGGGAGCGUGUCUGGGAGAAGGGAGGAGCUUUUAAGAACCGGAGUAUUCCCAAUGCGUUUCCACUGGCUGGCCCUGGGAUCUGCAGUGCUCACCAUCACUACUGAGAGUACAGCCUUGCAAGACACUAGAAAUACUGACUCAGGAGCUUGGAUGGUGCCGUAAAGUUAAUGUAAUCAAACACUUCUGUUGUCUCAAUAAUGCUUCCACCUUGCUAUCAGACCCAGAUCUUGAAAGAUCCUAGUGAGAAAUGACUCUUCAUGUUACAAAUGCCUCCUCUGCUGUCCCUGCAACCUGUCUGGCAGAGCCUUUUGAGCUUAAAGGUGACACUCAGUGUAAUGGCUGUGGAAAGUUAAGCACCGUUUCAAUAACAGAAACUAAAAGCAGUCAGAGCAGAAGCAUUCAUUACAUGCAUGGAAAAAGCAGACAGUGACUCUCCACUUUAGUCCUUUGUCUUGGAAGUUCAGCAGUGAAUUGGAGAAACUUUCCACCUGCCCCAGCAUUGUGUGAAGUGCAAUGGAAUUGGUUACUGCAAAUUGAGCAGUUGCAAGAGCCCCUCUAUGGAGAGCCCAGGGGAUGCACUUUUCCUGGUCGUGGCCAGCAGAAACUUCAUGAGCAGAGGGCAGCUAGACUUUCAGCAGGCAUAAAAUGCAGGUAUAGCUGCUGAAAGGGCAGCCUAUUUCCGGUAUGUAGAUAACCCACUGGCUUCUUUCCUAUCUGUGUAUUCAGAUUUGCUUCCAUGGACGUCUAGAUCAGCUGGGGAGAUGGUUGCAGCCUGGUCAUUUUCCACAUGCAGGACUCUGAGGAACCAGGACUCUGAGAGUAUGUGGACUUUACCAGUCAAGACACAGGCACUCUGACCGAGUAUGAGCCUGUGUGGAUGGACCAGGAGAAAAGACUCCUUCAAUAAAAAAAGUGGAAAAGAUUACUACUGCUUAUUGCCUGCUCAUCUAGCUCUUGACAUGAACUGCAGGGCUCCAGGAUUGUGAAGAGAUGGAAAAAAGUUACUGGAGGAUUUCAGCUGUGAUCAGAUGAUGAAAACAAAUCUCAAGACAAGAUGAAAGACACUAAGUGUUUGAGUUACGCAUUUUGCCAAAGAGAAGAGGCUAUUUUGAUGGGCUGUUUAAUAGAAAUUUCUUCCUGUGAUCAUUCAACUGGAUGCUCACUCCAAACAGCCCAGAGGCUUUUUAUAUUUGACCUAAAUGUCUGGAUUUUUUCUUUUCUUCAGUAUAUCACAGAACAGAAAUCUGUAAGCUGAUUAUUGUUGCUUAAUUCACUUCUGAAUGCAAACAUCUUUGCAUAUUUCAGACACUGCUAUAUAGAGCUGAAAUCAGAAAAGCUAAAAGAGCUUGAGAGCUCAAUCUAAAUCCCAACUGUCUGGCUCCCUGGCCAAUGCCUUGUAUUAUACAAAGUGUGUAACCAUUCUACACCUUUGAUGUAAAACAACUCUCUUUUAAUGUACUGUAAUCUCUUAUUCCCUUUGUCUCUCAAAUAAUAAUCCUCUUGCUCAUGGUAAUCCUCAAAAUCACAUAUGCUAUUUAAAGCUUUUCUUUUGGAAAGUAUUCACACCCAUUUUUCUGGGCACUGGCAACUAAAUAUUACAGAAAACCUGAUUCUUCUGACUUUGACCAAGACAAUCUGAAUUUUUGUUUUGCACAGUUACUGCUUGGCUGGAACUGGAUCAACAAAAUGAGUGAACAAUUUCUAGUUGUUCAACAGAACCACAGUGUGCAGACUGUUCGUUUGGCCAAGGCAGAGGCACAAGAUGUAUUUGGGAGAGUUAACAAGGAACAAGUAAAAUGACAUUUUUAUUUGGGUUAUAGAACAGAAAAUGAAGUUUAGUUGUCUGGAAUGAUUUAAGAACAUGUUCUCCUGGACUAUUAAA